GGAGAGGUGUGAGUGGAUUCCCAAUCCCUCCCCAAUUUAAUGAAUUAACACGGGAGUGGGAGGAAUCCACACUCCUCACUCCCACUCCAGAAAGUAAAUACAGCGUAAAAGUCUCUAAAGUCUCAAUCACCUCCAAUACCUUAACAAAUAUAAGAUAUAACUAUUAAUAACUUAUCCUAAGAAUCUGAUUUGCUAAUUCAUACCUGUACUAGUCUGAUUCUUAAAAUUUUAACUCUUAAUCUAAAACUCAAAAUGACAUAAUAUUCUAUAGAACCAUUAUGGACAUCCAUGGGUACCUCAUAUAAAAUUUCCAAGAGGAUCCGAUACCAAAAACAUUUUCAAAACUAUUUAUUGCUUGACAAAUUCAAAACUGUUUCACAGUAUCUUAACCGAACAGACCGUAUUUGGAGAAUUUUAUAAAAUCAGAUACGGAUCAGAAAAUUGUGAAAUUAAAACUAGGAAUACUAUACACAUGUAUCAACUCCUAUAUAAAAUUUAAGAAUGUUUCGAGUUCAUUUAGUAGUACAAAUAAGUUUAUGAAUUAGAUUUCCUUGUUGUAAUCACAAUUUUCCAGUGUAUUAAUGUUCGAUUCACAAAUCCAUAUAAAAUUGAAAACAAAGUCAAAUCUUAUGAAAUAAAAUUUAAUCAAUAAUCCCUACAUGUCUAGUUUUCAGAAAUAUAAAGUUCUUAGAAAACUCAUUACGAAAAUAUAUGUUUAAAUUCGAGAUACUCAUAUUGUCCAGAAUUUGUCCAGUGUGCUUAAUACACCAAGGGUUGAUUAUUAAAACCCAAAAUAAAUCAAAACUCGAAACAAAACCUAAACACACCUUAAAUCAUGUAUUAUAGUCUGCAUCAAUCUAAAAUCAUGCUAAUAUAAACCCUAAAUAGAGUGAUUGGAAAUCUCAUGGAGACUAAGGAGAGUAAACUUACCAAUUGCUUUGAUUCUCUUCCAAACAAAUGUUU
rnacentral:lncRNA from 1 species